UACUUUUGGCAGAAGGUGGGCGGAUCCAGUUGGGGUUUCUGUUAAUACACGAUUGGUUAAGGUCCCUGUCUUCUGUGAUUGGCCYGCUUCAGAAGAAAGGCGGAAGAAGAAGCGUCUGCGGACUGGAGCGUGGUCUAAACAUGGUCAAAGCUAUGAAGGCAUGGCAGACCAUCAAGAGACACAGAUGCAAAAUGCUGCCAUGCAGGUAGUUGCACUAAUAAGAAGACUGAGAGUGACCCAUCUGCUCAAAACCAGGAGGAGAAUGGCUCCGGGGACACCACAAAGACCAUGAAGGAAAAUGAGAGUGAUCUUGAAGAUGGACAUGGGGAGGAGAUGGAGAAAGAUGGACAAAAGAGAAAGAAAGACACGGUCWCUGUUGGUUGCUUCCUGCAGUGGCUUACUGGACAGGCACAUGUUCCCAUCACCUCAACAGAGCGUGAAAGAUUCAAGAUCCAUACAGAAUUUGACCAUGACUGUGGACUGCGCUAUGGUCCACACACAGUAUGCUUCCCAGUUGUCAGUGCAUGCUCUAACUUGUCUUUAGUAGUCAUAUCUGGAAUGCAAAACACUCAUUCAAUAAUACAAACACAUUAAACACAUUCUAUGAUAGUCUUCAAAUAUGAAACAAUGACAUUAGUAGUCUUCAAAUAUGAAACAAUGACAUUAAUAGUCUUCAAAUAUGAAACAAUGACAUUACAUCAACUGAACUUGCUCAAAAGGCAAAAGUACUUCCUGGAAAAAAAAGGAAAAAAAAACUGCAAUAAAAGCUGGCAGAAGAAAGCACACCUAUGCACGACCAAAUUCACAACUGUUUUGGAUAGCCAGUGUGAUGAUGUUGACAAACUCUGGAUAUGAGCUGGGGUGCUGUGUUGGAAACGUUAUUGAGUUGGUGUCUUGUUUUUAGUUUUUUUUUGUUUGUUUUUGUUUUUUAAUAAAAAUGAUGUAUCGA